GAUGGAAAUUUCAUUGCUACUGGGGGACGUGUUCUUGGAGUCACAGCAAAAGGAAAGGAUCUUGAAGAGGCUCGGGAUAGAGCUUAUCAAGCCGUUGAACAAAUUAAUUGGGCCUGUGGUUUUUAUAGACGGGAUAUUGGUUGGAGAGCACUGCCUCAAAAACAAUAUUCUUAAGGUGAGCUCCUACAAUCAUCCGUUCCAUUGGGACUGCAGCACGACAUGGCUAUCAGCUUUGGCAUGAUGUUUACGAAGAGACUGAAGCAUGGCAUGGCUCUUUGAGAAACCACGUAACACUAGGUGUGAGGAAAAGGUCCAGGAAUAGAUAGAAAGUCUUGAAUUGACUGUAGAACUUUCUAACAAGGUGAUUGAUUCUAUAUUGCCUAAUGAAAGCUGUUGUAUCGUUAUUUUUUUCUUCUUGUUCCCCCUGCAGUUUAAA
rnacentral:misc_RNA from 1 species